rnacentral:rRNA from 1 species
UACGUAGGGUGCAAGCGUUGUCCGGAAUUAUUGGGCGUAAAGAGCUCGUAGGCGGUUCGUCGCGUCGGCUGUGAAAUCCCGAGGCUCAACCUCGGGUCUGCAGUCGAUACGGGCGGACUGGAGUUCGGCAGGGGAGACUGGAAUUCCUGGUGUAGCGGUGAAAUGCGCAGAUAUCAGGAGGAACACCGGUGGCGAAGGCGGGUCUCUGGGCCGAUACUGACGCUGAGUAGCGAAAGCGUGGGGAGCGAACAGG